GAUUAUGGCUCAGGAUGAACGCUGGCGGCGUGCUUAACACAUGCAAGUCGAACGGGGUAUUGACGCUGACGAGACUUCGGUCAAAUCUUGUUAAUACCUAGUGGCGGACGGGUGAGUAACGCGUGGGUAACCUGCCGUAUGCAGGGGGGACAACAGUUGGAAACGACUGCUAAUACCGCAUAAGCGCACAGUUUCGCAUGAAACAGUGUGAAAAGAUUUAUCGGCAUACGAUGGACCCGCGUUUGAUUAGCUAGUUGGUGGGGUAACGGCCUACCAAGGCGACGAUCCAAUAGCCGGCCUGAGAGGGCAAUCGGCCACAUUGGGACUGAGACACGGCCCAAACUCCUACGGGAGGCAGCAGUGGGGAAUAUUGCACAAUGGGGGAAACCCUGAUGCAGCGAACCGCCGCGUGAGUGAAGAAGUAUUUCGGUAUGUAAAGCUCUAUCAGCAGGGAAGAUGAUGACGGUACCUGACUAAGAAGCCCCGGCUAACUACGUGCCAGCAGCAGC
rnacentral:rRNA from 1 species